UAACAAUCUUAAGAUUAUUUUGUGUGUCCCGUGUGUAAGAAUUUUAUUUGAGAUAAAUACAUGGUAUCUUGUAUACUGUCUUCGUAGACAUUGCCAUUACAGUCAGCAUUAUGAUAUCAGCACCAGCAUUUGGUGACUGACGAGGUCAUUAUCAUAUAAGAUGCUACAGAACAGGAGGACAAAGGGCUUUAUUGGAGGCUGGAAGAAGACAAAGUCCCUGUCGUCGUGAGUGUUCACUGUAGCGUAGACAGGGUGAAGCAGGGAAACACUGAGAAGCACAGCAAGAUGGGGAGGGUGAUGUGUCUGCCAGGCAAGAAGGUGCUGUCUGAGCAGAGACGGAGAAAGUCACCAACAGCCAUGCAAGUGUCUGCAUGGUAAUUCUUCAGCCAUGAUCAUUGCUGCUUUCUUCACAGUAGCUAGGACAAAGAAACAACAUCAGUGUCCUCUCACUGAAACUGUGGUGCAUGGACACUGGGGGAUACGAUUCAGCUCUAAAGAAAAAUGAAGUCCGUUUCAGGAUUCUAUCCCUUGGAGGAGGUUGUGGCUC
rnacentral:lncRNA from 1 species